rnacentral:tRNA from 1 species
GCUCAGUGGUAGAGUGCUUGCCUAGUAUGCAUGAAGCUCUGGGUUUGAUCCCCAG